CUGAUCCAGCAUGCCGCGUGUGUGAGAAGGCCUUCGGGUUGUAAAGCACUUUUGUCCGGAAAGAAAUCCUUGGCUCUAAUACAGUCGGGGGAUGACGGUACCGGAAGAAUAAGCACCGGCUAACUACGUGCCAGCAGCCGCGGUAAUACGUAGGGUGCGAGCGUUAAUCGGAAUUACUGGGCGUAAAGCGUGCGCAGGCGGUUUGCUAAGACCGAUGUGAAAUCCCCGGGCUCAACCUGGGAACUGCAUUGGUGACUGGCAGGCUAGAGUAUGGCAGAGGGGGGUAGAAUUCCACGUGUAGCAGUGAAAUGCGUAGAGAUGUGGAGGAAUACCGAUGGCGAAGGCAGCCCCCUGGGCCAAUACUGACGCUCAUGCACGAAAGCGUGGGGAGCAAACAGGAUUAGAUACCCCAGUAGUCAA
rnacentral:rRNA from 1 species